CGAGUGCGUUUUGUGUGCGUGCGUAUGUAUUGCAUAAGGCCGGUAGAGUUUUACUCGCAAUAAAACUCUUCCAAUUUGGUGCAGCGAGUGUUGCCGCCUGAAAGCCGAGUUUGGUUUCAAGCCAACCUGGACAACUGCUGUAUGAGGCGCUGUUUCUCAGGAGGAUCAGUGGGAAGGCGUCAGGUCAUGCAGAUGAUAGCAUCAAUUUCACAAUGCCCAGCCUUGGUGCCCUCCAUUAAGAGCAAGCCACUUGCGUUCGCCUUCAGGCAGAUGGUUGAUGUCUUCUAGGAAGCAGUUGGGAAGACUACAUUGAUGCAAGAUUCCAGCAAUGCCAUGCGCUGCAUUUAUUCGUCAAGAUGCUCAGAGAAUGGAGUCCCUGCACCUCGUGGUGAAACGUGAACAUUUUUUUUCUUUUGGAAAGCUAAACGUCAUUUGCUGUAUCAAUUGCAUUCUUGCAGCUCAGAU
rnacentral:lncRNA from 1 species